UCUCUUGGCCUUUGCCACCUUUCUCCCAAUAGGUCUUGGCACAGUUGGGAGUGGUGAGUCUUGAUCCAUUGGGGAGUCCAAUGGCGAAUUGAUUUCUGGUGAAUCGUGAAGCGGCGUCUUAUUCAACAGAACCGGCGAGCCGUUGGAAAUAAUUUUGAAUCUUGAACAAUUCUUCCCAACUUUCCAACAUUGGUGACCCAAGAAACUUUUUUUGCCUUGCACCGUGGCACCAAACCACAUUUGUGCUUGUAGGAUCUAUUAAAAAUAAAUAAUUGGAAAUGCAAGAAAAAAAAAUGAUUAAGCAAGAAAAUAUAAACAAAUUGGAAACGCAAGAAAAAAAAACAUUAAAUUGAAUAAAACGGCAAUUAUAAAUAUUUUACCUCGUCGGCAAGAUUUUGACUGCUUCGAAUGUUGUCCCUCGCUUUUGCCAAGGAAUCUCUCCAUUUCCCUAACUCUUU
rnacentral:lncRNA from 1 species